rnacentral:tRNA from 1 species
AUUUUAUUAAUAUAUCUAUAGUAUAAUUGAUUUCCAAUCAAAUCGUUUAAUUUAAUUAAAUAAAAUA